rnacentral:tRNA from 1 species
GCCCAGCUAGUAUGGUGGAUAUGACCCUCGGCUUGUAACCGAGUGGGUUCGAAUCCCGAGUAAGGCA